UGGGGAAUAUUGCGCAAUGGGCGGAAGCCUGACGCAGCGACGCCGCGUGGGGGAUGACGGCCUUCGGGUUGUAAACCUCUUUCAGCAGGGACGAAGUUGACGUGUACCUGUAGAAGAAGCGCCGGCUAACUACGUGCCAGCAGCCGCGGUAAUACGUAGGGCGCAAGCGUUGUCCGGAAUUAUUGGGCGUAAAGAGCUCGUAGGUGGCUUGUUGCGUCUGCCGUGAAAUCCUGUGGCUUAACUGCGGGUCUGCGGUGGAUACGGGCAGGCUAGAGGCUGGUAGGGGCAAGCGGAAUUCCUGGUGUAGCGGUGAAAUGCGCAGAUAUCAGGAGGAACACCGGUGGCGAAGGCGGCUUGCUGGGCCAGUUCUGACGCUGAGGAGCGAAAGCGUGGGGAGCGAACAGGAUUAGAUACCCCCGUAGUCC
rnacentral:rRNA from 1 species